ACAGCUCUUAUGCAGGUAUUUCCUUACUCGUUUUUUUUUUUUUUAUGCAACGUUUCAUCCCCGUCAUCAAUCCGGCCACCGAUCGUCAACGGUAUUCAUUCUAGAUCUACCUCACUUCACUCUACACGCACACUUUUAUCUAUUGUUUUCAGUACUUCAAUGGAUUACGAUAUUGAACAAUAAUAAUUAUACUAAGUUUCAGUUUAAGGCGUUCUUCAUGACUUUACAAUUUCAGUUAUGUGUAGCUGUUAAUUCUGAUUUCAAUUAUCUUAAGGUGAACUUUUUUUGUUUGCGGCUUUAAAUCGGUGACUCCAAGUUGUCUUUAUGGUUAGGGAUGGAAGUUCAUAUUGCUGAUACUCUGCUUCAUUGCCUUUUGAAGUUCUAAUCUUUUCUAACUCAUUUUUGGUCUUCUCUGCUUCAUCCACAAAUUCAGGGAUUGAUGUUUCAAAUUAAGGUGUUGUGUUUCCUUUAGCGAAUUUCAUUUGGAUUGGUUGUAAUUUUACUUUUCUUCUCACUAAAAAAAAGAUGUACAUAGGCACCAGCUUGUACACGUAAAGAACUAUCACUAUCGAGUUUCUUGAAUUAAUGUGCUAAGUUAUUGUUGUUUAUUUGGAUGGUCUGAGGUUAAGUACUCUUUAAGGAACCAGAAAGCCCCACCAAAUGUGAGUUUUGAGUAUAUUUUUUUUUUAUAUUUGAAAAUUGAACAUGCGACUUUCAGAUUGGAAGUAUAUACAUAUCAUAGAAGUUGCACUUUCAGAGUUGAAAUGUUCGUUUGCAUCGUAAUUAGGUGUUGAAUGAGUACUUUGGAGUGGGAUUGUAUAACUUGGUUUGUAUAGCUUUUAGGAAAACUAAAACUAAUCAGCCCAUUUUGCAUUAAUGUGCAUUUUCCAGCUUGCAAAGCUAGGAGAUCGAAUCUCAAGUGAGCUUUAAGAUUCUGAUCCACCAUCAAAAAGGUUAGGCUAAGACGGAUUCAUGGAGUAAAGCUUGAUUUGCUGAAGCCUUCUCUUUUGUCCACUUAGUAGUCUUGAACUAAAAUCGCCUAAUGCAUUCCUUUUGUACAAAUCAUCCUUCAAGCAACAACACAUCAUCGACUCCCUACUAAAUACGUAUAUAAGCAGCUUUAUGGAUUAACUAGGAAAACUUGUAACUAAUGUUAAAGUUUAUGCUAAUGUCAACGCCAUGUAUGCCUAGCCAUGCCAAUUUUUGUUAGCUGCAUCUAUAAAAAGCUACAUGCUUACUUAAUCACAAGUUGUUAUUA